UACGUAGGUGGCAAGCGUUGUCCGGAUUUACUGGGCGUAAAGCGUGCGCAGGCGGUUUUGUAAGUCUGUCGUGAAAGCCCCGGGCUCAACCUGGGAAUUGCGAUGGAGACUGCAAGGCUUGAAUCUGGCAGAGGGGGGGUAGAAUUCCACGUGUAGCAGUGAAAUGCGUAGAGAUGUGGAGGAACACCGAUGGCGAAGGCAGCCCCCUGGGUCAAGAUUGACGCUCAUGCACGAAAGCGUGGGGAGCAAACAGG
rnacentral:rRNA from 1 species